GCGAUCGGAGACCUCUAAUCGGAAAAGACUACCCGCUGAGUUUAAGCAUAUC
rnacentral:rRNA from 1 species